AUUGAACGCUGGCGGCAUGCCUUACACAUGCAAGUCGAACGGCAGCACGGGAGCAAUCCUGGUGGCGAGUGGCGAACGGGUGAGUAAUGUAUCGGAACGUACCUUUCAGUGGGGGAUAACGUAGCGAAAGUUACGCUAAUACCGCAUAUUCUGUGAGCAGGAAAGCAGGGGAUCGCAAGACCUUGCGCUGAUUGAGCGGCCGAUAUCAGAUUAGCUAGUUGGUGAGGUAAAGGCUCACCAAGGCGACGAUCUGUAGCGGGUCUGAGAGGAUGAUCCGCCACACUGGAACUGAGACACGGUCCAGACUCCUACGGAGGCAGCAGUGGGGAAUUUUGGACAAUGGGCGCAAGCCUGAUCCAGCCAUGCCGCGUGAGUGAAGAAGGCCU
rnacentral:rRNA from 1 species